GAUGAACGCUGGCGGCGUGCUUAACACAUGCAAGUCGAACGGUGAAAGAGAGCUUGCUCUCUGGAUCCGUAGCGAACGGGGGAGUAACACGUUUGCAAUCUGCACCUCACUCUGGGAUAAGCGCUGUAAACGGCGGCGAAUACCGGAUACGAGCUGCGACGGCAUCUUCAGCAGCUGGAAAGAACUUCGGUCAGGGAUGAGCUCGCGGCCUAUCAGCUAGUUGGUGAGGUACCGGCCCACCAAGGCGACGACUGAUACCCGACCUGAGAGGGGGGCCGGCCACACUACGACUGAGACACGGCCCAGACUGCAACGGUAGGCAACGGUGGGGAGUAUUACACAGUGGGCGAGAGGCUGGUACAACGACGCCGCGUGAGGAAAGACGUCCUAGGGGUUGGAAAGCAAUUUUAGCAGAGAAGAAGCGAAAGUGACGGUACCUGCAGAAGAAGCGCCGGCUAACUACGUG
rnacentral:rRNA from 1 species